GAUGUGUAUAGCUUCGGGAUAUGUCUAUGGGAGAUUUACUGCUGCGACAUGCCUUAUCCUGACCUCAGCUUCUCCGAAGUCACCUCCGCCGUCGUCCGCCAGAAUCUGAGACCGGAGAUACCUAGAUGUUGCCCAAGCUCGUUGGCAAACGUGAUGAAGAGGUGUUGGGAUGCAAAUCCUGAAAAGCGGCCAGAGAUGGACGAAGUGGUGGCGAUGUUGGAGGCUAUUGAUACUACUAAAGGCGGAGGAAUGAUACCUCCUGACCAACAACAAGGCUGUUUCUGUUUCCGCAGACACCGAGGCCCAUGAAGUAUAACGUUUCCAUUAUUAUUAGUAUCAUCAUCAACUCUUACUAUUUUGGAAGUAGAGAGAUUAUAUUUAUAAAAUUUGAUUGUGGGGGGUUAUUAAAAAUGUUUUAUUUAGUUGGUGUUUGAUUCAUAGGAUGAAUGUCGCGUAUCUAUUUCAAACGAUCAUCCUAUACACACAAAACCUAUUUCUUGCUCUUUGCUUGUUUUAUAGUUUGUCAAUAUGUAUAUUGGUUUACAAUGUAUUAAACCUGACCAUAAAUUAUAAAGCAUUAAUUCCACCAAAA